GGGAGUUGGAACCCUGGGGCUAAGGACAGUUCCCCUUCUAACAUUUCUGGUUUAAUGAAUUCUUCCAGAUACGUCCUGCAGAGCCUCCUGUCCCAGUCGUCGGUGAUAUGGCCUCCAUACAUGAUCUCACCAAACAGGAAGGUGGAUGUUCCUGAGGGAGAAACAAUGUAAGAAAUACUGCCUUUCUGAGAAGAUGAAAGAGCCUGAGCUGCAGACUUCACAGGUGCUACUUCAGAUACCGGACAGGACACCCACAGGCCUGACCUGGCCUUUAAGAGCACACUCCGUAGCAUGAGUCUUGGAACUGUCGGUAAUGGAAAUUCUCGUAAUGUAGCUGACCUCUGUGUCUUGACAUUCUAUGUUCUCAAACUCGACUGUGCCUGAAAAUCACUCAGAAGAUUCGCUAAAAUUCCUGGAAGAUUCGCUAAAGCAGAUUGCAUGCCAGUGUCUGGUUCAGGAGGUUUGGAGUGGGGCCUGAGAACCUACACUUCCAACAUGUUCUCGGGGGAUGCUACUAGCGUGGCUUCAGAGAGAUUUCGUGCAAUUUCCAGCGCAUCAGAACCUGGAUAAUGUGAACCCUCCAUGGUCAAGACUUAUGUAGAUGGGAAAUAUGCAGCUCCACACCACCCCCAAAGCUGGCGGGAUGCUGGUCCUCUCCUGUGUGGCUCCCGUCUGAAGUCCACGACACUACCAAGUGCUGGUGUUGAAAAGAUCAAAGAACAAGCAAGCAAGUGGGUGUGCUUUGUGCUCUGAAUGGGGCUGGGGAUUUAGCUCAACGGCACCUGCCUUGCAAGCAGGUGGUCGUGAGUUUGAUCCCUGGUACUGAUAAAAAACAAAAAAGACAAAAAAAACUUUAAUGUUAUGUCUCUUCCAUACGAGCAUUGCUAAUUAAAGGGCUCAG